ACAAUAUUGAUGAUUUCACAUAGAAAAAAAGAUAAACAAAUAGUUACAUAAGAAAAAAAACAUCAUUUUUUUACCACACCCUUGUAGAUCUGCAACAGCCAAUGUAAUGCCUGCACGUCGUGCUGGUGGUGGUGUGACCACCGUUCGCCGCAAACAUUCGUUGGGUAAUUUACGUCGUGCUCAUCCAGCCUCGGGUGCAACAUGGAAUGUUCAGGUGGUUCGUGGAAAAAUGUCCUCAAAAUGUUUAUGGCAUGCUUGUAGAGCAUUAGUAUUGGGUCUUACUUUGUUAGCGGUGGGUGCGGGAAUGGCAACAUUGGGUUACUAUGCCGACCACUUAUCAAUUGGCUCCGAAAUACGUGGCAAUGCUACUGUACGUGUUAAAAAUGAUCUCAAGGGUUUUCAUCUAAAUAAUUUCUCUUACGUGGGUCCCAUAGUUAUGGGUUUUGGUGGUUUUAUUGUGGUCGCUUCGUGUGUCAUGACAUUCGAGGCACGUGAUUCGGCUGCCAAAGUUGUGCCGGCACGUUUAAGAGCUGGCACUGGCAGUAAAAUGACUGUGCGCAGCAAUCAAAGUAGUUCAGCCUCACAAAGAAGAGCUAUAGGCAUGCAAUUUCAAAAUACCCGCUGGGAUCAACAGUUUGGUGUUUUUCGUUCUUCCCCAGCCGCUGAAGUACCUCAAACCACUAAUAUGCCCCUUGAUCGUGAAGCCUUAACUGCUGAAUUAGUAAAAUUUUCUAAAUCGCUCAGUGCAUCUGCUCGCUUUUCACCACAACUACGACGUCUCACCUACACUGGUUCUGUGCCAAAUCUCUCCACUCAUCAUGCCACACAUCCCCUCGCAUAUUCCACUAAUUUAUCACAUUUACUCUCGCCGAAUCACAAACCACUGCUGUUGCUGGAACCUAAACGACAUCGUAAUCAUCAUCGACAUCAUCAUCACCACCACAAUAACCACCAUCAUCAUCAACACCAACAACAACAUUACAAUACAAAUAAUCGUUCCUCAAUGGCAACAACAACAACUACCAUUAACGAUAUAAGUAAUCGUCAGAUCAAAAAUCGUGGUACACGUAUUAGUAAUAGUUUAAUUCAAAGAACAACACGUGAAAGUGUUACAUCUGCCACCUGUACACUGUUGCAGCCACCGAGUGGCAAUAAUAAAUUGUACUGGCAUGCAGCCUCAUUCGAUGAGAGUUGUCGUUUGAUGGCCGAUAAACAGCAACAACAGAGAGAUCGGGUAGCAGAACGUACAAGACGUUCGGAUACGGCCAAGCGUCAUGUUUUAGCGCGUCAAAAGCCCAUCGAACAAGAGGAAGAUCGCGAUAAGUUAUCAUCUAGUCCUUUGGGAAAUCGAAGAUGUUCUACCAUGUCGGAUUCUUCGUAUAGUGGCCGCUGGACGGCUCGUUGUGCUUCUAUUGCCAGUCGUGCUUCUAGCAUAGAUUCAAGACGUAUACAAGUAGAUUUACAUAGUCCGGAGGUAAUGCCCAAAUCUAUAUUACGUUCACCGAAACGUUAUAGCUCAGGUCCAUCGACAACACCUUCAGUCGAAAAGGAAUUUCGAAGUCAACUUUCCGUAUGUUCUGAGCCACCCGCCGCCAUACGUCAACUCUCGGGUCAAUCAAGUCUAGAACCAUGUCUGCCCGAAGAAGCUAUAGAGCUUGCAGAUGCAGAUAGCUAUCAAAUUUCCCAAACCGAAACUCCUCGUUCGUUAACUACUACCACAAUAAUCAAUCCAGUAGAUCUUCCACCGCCACCACAAUCACCAACAACACCACCGGCGCCACCGCCAACAGCAUUACCAACAACUAAACCGGAAAUUAAAUCACCCAACCGGUCUGGUAUAUUGAAGAAACCCCGCCCCGAUUCAUUACCACUAAUGCAAAAUUCUGCCGUUAUUGAUUUUAGUAAAACCACCAACGUCAAUCAUGAACGUUAUAAAAAUCUGCAACGCAGCAAUUCCUCACGCACUUAUGAUCGUCCCAAAUGCCAUAAAACCUCAGAACAUGAUGAUUCCAUAUUUUAUAUACGUUCCGAACAUAGAGUUCUACAGCACUGUAAUGAUUUCUAUGAUUCCGAACAGGUUAUCAAUGAAAGACGUUCAACUCUGCUGAAGGCGGAUAGUGAAACUGCUUUGGCCGAACGUAAGUUAAGUUCCUUUUCAAUACCGGAAAGAAUAUUGGAGCAAUCGGGGUCAGGGACGGGUGGAGAUAUUGAGGAAUCAAAACCUCCUGACGAUAUCGUCUUGCAGAUUGAAGUGGACAGUAAUAAAGAGGAAGAGAAUAAUAUUGUAUAGAGUUUAAGCAGCUGAUACUUAUUAAUUAAUUAAUGAAUUAAACGGAAUUACUUUACAACUCAAAGUUGUAGUUGUGUAGAAGAAAAGUGAAAUACAUUAAUGUUUAUCUGUUUUUAGCAUAAAUGUUGUUAACUAUUUUAAAAUUUACAAAAGAAAUUAUUACAACAAAUUAAAAAUAAAUUCAACAACAAACAACAAUUAAAAUAAAAGCAAUGUACUUAUGAGUAACUACUUUGUAUAUGUAAGAAAUUAAAAAUACAAAA
rnacentral:misc_RNA from 1 species